rfam:Felis catus isolate Cinnamon breed Abyssinian chromosome X, whole genome shotgun sequence.
GCCUGAGUGGCUCAGUCGGUUAAGCAUCUGACUCUGGCUCAGGUCAUGAUCUCAUGGUUCAUUGGUUCGAGCCCUGUCUCAGGCU